UACGGGGGGGGCAAGCGUUGUUCGGAAUUACUGGGCGUAAAGGGCUUGUAGGUGGCCAACUAAGUCGGAGGUGAAAUCCUGGAGCUCAACUCCAGAACUGCCUUCGAUACUGGCGAUCUUGGAGUCCGGGAGAGGUGAGUGGAACUCCGAGUGUAGAGGUGAAAUUCGUAGAUAUUCGGAAGAACACCAGUGGCGAAGGCGGCUCACUGGCCCGGUACUGACGCUGAGGUGCGAAAGCGUGGGGAGCAAACAGGG
rnacentral:rRNA from 1 species